rnacentral:rRNA from 1 species
CAGCCGCCGCGGUAAAACGAAGGGUGCAAGCGUUAAUCGGAAUUACUGGGCGUAAAGCGUGCGUAGGCGGUGAGUUAAGUCUGCUGUGAAAUCCCCGGGCUCAACCUGGGAAUGGCAGUGGAUACUGGCUCGCUAGAGUGUGUCAGAGGAUGGUGGAAUUCCCGGUGUAGCGGUGAAAUGCGUAGAGAUCGGGAGGAACAUCAGUGGCGAAGGCGGCCAUCUGGGACAACACUGACGCUGAGGCACGAAAGCGUGGGGAGCAAACAGGAUUAGAUACCCCCGUAGUCCCUGUCUCUUAUAC